GGAGGUUUUUCGGCUUGGUGUUCGCUACGCCGCCGCCAUCGUCCCUUUGCUCCACACCGCCCGCAACUCAGUCGAUCAGCAUAGCCUACUCCUUCGUCGCCAGCGAGCCUCCAGCUCCUCUGCUUUCCCCCUCUUUCUCUCAGCUUCGGGUUUUUUCCAGCAUUGCAGUGAUGUUUUUGGCUGGAUUCCCUUCUCAACAGCAGUUCGUCGCCAUCAAGGGAGAAGAGGGGGAGGUCUGCCUUAGUGAUCGGAAGCCGCCGCUACCCACUGGAGGAAGCAUACACACGAAGCCGGCGUCGACCACCCCGACUAUGCCGACGCCGUCACACGGGGGCUCUUCCGCCGGUCACUAACACCCCUUCUCUCUCCCGUGUGUGAGUCAUCAACGCCGCGGGCAGUCUUGGGCAGAUCUCAUCGCUGCCUCUGGCCUCCGGGCCGCUGUCGUCGUGCACUCCCUGUGGCGCUUUGCGCCGGCCAUGCCCCCUUUUUUGGUCAUUGUCUCCAGCAGCCUUAGAUGGCUCUACAGGCGACCACAGUGGUUUUACAGCCGCUGUCUUAUCAUUUUCGGCGCAAAUAUGAUCCAUCGCUGUGUCUCCGGCCGUAUCCGGCUCCGUGUUGUCACCGUCGGACUUAGCUCCUCUUCGGUUGGCUCAGAUGCAUCCGCUCUUUCAGGUCACGAUGACUCGAUCAACUUCACGACCAGCUCACCGACCCAUCCGAGAGCGUCCCGCGGGGCCAGGGUACGUCAUUGUACUCGUCUGGUAUUUAUUUAGUUGUGCCAUCAUUGUUCGGCUGCUUAUAUAUUCGUGGGAGCCGCUUCGAGCAUCGAGGUACCAGAGACCGGGGCGACCUGGUCGCUGGUUGCAGGUAGUGUCAACCAGAGGACAUUGGACGACUUGGUCAACACAGGAGACAACCCACCGUUCAGGUCAUGGAGAUGCGGUUAACAUUCCAAGCACGUUACACCAACAGGGUGAUGGAUGGAUUGCUGGUGAGGCAUUACCGGUGUUGACCAAAAGAAGACUUCGAAGGAGGAAGAAGGGGGUGAGCUGGACCUAUGAAGAAGAGAGGUAGCUAUCCCCAUCGCCAGAAGAACCUGCGAAGAGUAAAAGAGCGAGGAAGGGGGUUAGAAUGGAGACCAGGUUGCCUCAACCUUCUCCACUCUUACGCUGAAAUCAGUUUCCAAUAAUAUCCAAAAUGAGAAGAAAAAUAGUGUGAAAGGAAUAAUGAAAUGUGAGUGUAUGUCUCCUCCCUCUCGGCCUACAAGAGUGGUCUUUUAUAGGAGAUACCUCUUACAGGAUGUCACAUCUGUAAUAAGAAAUGUCACGUCAUAGAUGUCAGAAGGUUAUGUUGCUCAUGUCUGGUACCAUACAAAAUCUAGUGGGACCAUGCUAUGUCAAUCAAGUUGUUCCACGUGUUUAGACAACCCACAUAUUCUGAUAGCCUACAUAUUCUAGCAUCCUGACAACCCACAUGGGUUCCACAUGCUGCUGGUAAGUCUAGAUAUUUAGGCUAGGGAGGGUGUCGAGUCGGAGUGAAGGUGAGCUUGGAGCAUUCGAGUGGCAAAGCCGGUUGGACACAGACCGGAUAUUCUAUUGAGGAUCCGAGCUUUUACGGUGAGUACAGGACCAACUGCAUGCAGGUUGGCUCAGCUCGACGGGUUGGGCUAGCUGAUCGGCUUUGCUCUAGGUCGGCCUUGGAAUGCUGCCGGUCAGAUUUACACUGGGUCGACUUGACUCUGUCAAGUAGACUAGCGGAUCGAUUCUACUCUGACAGAUUGGUCGGCUAGACUCUGCUCUGAGUCGAUUCGGCUUUGCUAAGCAGACUGGCGGGUCAACUCUGCUUUGAGUCAGCCUUGGAAUGCUAUCGGUCUGAUCUGGCGAGCUGGCACUGGUGGAUCGACUCUGUACUAUUAGAAAGGCUAGCGGAUUUGUCCUGGAAUGUUGUCGGUCGGAUCUUCACUGGGUCGACUCAACUCUGUUAGGCAAACUGGCGAAUCGACUAUGCUCAGCCAUUUAGGCUGGCUGGUCAGCCUUGGAAUGUUGUUGGUCGGAUUUGGCAGAUCGAUCCUAGUGGAUUGGACUUUUGGGUUGGCCCUAGCCUGUCAGACCUUCGAGUCGACCUUGGCCGAUUAGAUUUUCGGGUCAGCCUUGACUGGUCAGACCUUCGGGUCGGCUCUAGGAAGACGGAUCGAUUAGCUUAAAUCGAAAGAGAUGGUCAUUGACCUCCCUUAACUUUAACCUAACUCAGCAUUACUCUAGUCAGAUCCGUGACAACUUUUCAUACCCAUCGUAUCAAUACUAUUAGUUUGUUUAGAACCAGGUUGGUGAGGGCCAAGAAAGGUAGCAGAAAUUGAAAAUUCAGUAGACCUUUACAUAUUAAAUUUUGUGUUAGUUUAUAAAAUUUUCCUUCUCGUUGAAAUUGAUAUUUUUUUGUUUGUUUUUUUUUUACGUAAAAAGAAGAGGAUGAAGGGAAGGAGAAGGAACUAUAUGCCGCAGACGAAGAGAAUGAACUCCUGUAUCUUUCCCUCGUGUGGAGACUUGUAGGAUAUUUUGGGAUAUUUUGUUAAUUUGAUUAUUGGAUAUUUUGUUAAUUUGAUUAUGAGACUCGUAUAAACUGGGUUUGGAUCUUGUUGAAUUUUUUU